AUGCAAGUCGCACGAGAAAGGGCUUCGGCCCCGGUAAAGUGGCGCACGGGUGAGUAACACGUAGGUAAUCUCCCCUCGAGUGGUGGAUAACCCUCCGAAAGGAGAGCUAAUACAGCAUGAGACCACGAGCUCUUCGGAGCUUGCGGCCAAAGCAGGCCUCUACAUGUAAGCUUGCGCUGGAGGAUGAGCCUGCGACCCAUCAGGUAGUUGGCAGGGUAACGGCCUACCAAGCCUAAGACGGGUAGCUGGUCUGAGAGGAUGAACAGCCACACUGGAACUGACACACGGUCCAGACUCCUACGGGAGGCAGCAGUGGGGAAUCUUGCGCAAUGGGCGAAAGCCUGACGCAGCGACGCCGCGUGAGCGAUGAAGGCCUUCGGGUUGUAAAGCUCUGUGGGGAGGGAAGAAUAAGGGUUGGCUAAUACCCAACUCGAUGACGGUACCUCCUUAGCAAGCACCGGCUAACUCUGUGCCAGCAGCCGCGGUAAUACAGAGGGUGCAAACGUUGUUCGGAAUUACUGGGCGUAAAGCGCGUGCAGGCGGCCUUGCAAGUCGGACGUGAAAUCCCACGGCUCAACCGUGGAAGUGCAUUCGAAACUGCGAGGCUGGAGUCCUGGAGAGGAAAGUGGAAUACUCGGUGUAGAGGUGAAAUUCGUAGAUAUCGAGUGGAACACCGGUGGCGAAGGCGGCUUUCUGGACAGGUGCUGACGCUGAGACGCGAAAGCGUGGGGAGCAAACAGGAUUAGAUACCCUGGUAGUCCACGCCGUAAACGAUGAGUGCUAGGUGUCACGGGCUUUUGACC
rnacentral:rRNA from 1 species